rnacentral:lncRNA from 1 species
UAUGUAAGUAUGUAUGUAUGUAUGUAUGUAUGUAUGUAUGUAUGUAUGCACAGGGGGAAAGGGGGGUGGAAUGUUAGAUAUGACGGAUGGAGAGCGGGAGAUGGCGGAGAUGAGUGGAGUGUGAUGGAGAGUGCGGUCCAGGACCAGAGCUACUGCUGCUGAAACAACGAACAACAACAACGAACAACAUGCCAAAUUUGGCUACACAGGUUGGCGACAGAUAUUCAAGGUGUAAUCCUCGGCCCUGUGACCGCAUGCACCGACUGGCCCGGUCCUCCACACAUCUAUCUGCGGCGGACCGCACCUCCCGGUCCUCCACACAUCUAUCUGCGGCGGACCGCACCUCCCGGUCCUCCACACAUCUAUCUGCGGCGGACCGCACCUCCCGGUCCUCCACACAUCUAUCUGCGACGGACCGCACCUCCCGGUCCUCCACACAUCUAUCUGCGACGGACCGCACCUCCCGGUCCUCCACACAUCUAUCUGCGGCGGACCGCACCUCCCGGUCCUCCACACAUCUAUCUGCGGCGGACCGCACCUCCCGGUCCUCCACACAUCUAUCUGCGGCGGACCGCACCUCCCGGUCCUCCACACAUCUAUCUGCGGCGGACCGCACCUCCCGGUCCUCCACACAUCUAUCUGCGGCGGACCGCACCUCCCGGUCCUCCACACAUCUAUCUGCGGCGGACCGCACCUCCCGGUCCUCCACACAUCUAUCUGCGGCGGACCGCACCUCCCGGUCCUCCACACAUCUAUCUGCGGCGGACCGCACCUCCCGGUCCUCCACACAUCUAUCUGCGGCGGACCGCACCUCCCGGUCCUCCACACAUCCAUCUGCGGCGGACCGCACCUCCCGGUCCGUGCCCACCAGCGGCAUAUCGCCACCGCACGGCUCUCCUACCGGGUUAUCGGUAGUCGCCGCUGCAGGCUGGGAAGCGACCUGCCGUACAGCUCCGGAACCACAGCCAGCUAGCCACGCAUGCAUGCAUGCACAUAACAGGCGACACCCGCCCACACACACAUACGCCGACACGCGCCCACCUGCAGCGUUGCCACGUCGCUCCAUCCCCCCACGUGAUCGACAUGUACGGCAGCCCUGCCGGCGGCAAGCCUGAAGCAUGUCCCCGGCACUAGCGGCACUUGAACUGCCGUACUGCCAUCAGGGCCGUCGCCAUCAGGGGCUGGGAGCUGGGUAUCGGCGGACUUGGAGGAGGAGGAGAAGGCUGAGGAGGGGGAGAAGGAGGAAAGGGAUUGAGAGGCGGUCCUUGGCUGCUGCUGUGCUGCGCUUGCUUGAAAAGUGGAGGCUGUUGGAAGGGAGGCCUCCGGUAAUCGGGAUAGAAGGCAUGCGUGUAUGCGACGGAAUGCUUCUGGUACGAGGUCAUGCAAGCAUGGCUGUGGUUGCUGGGUCACGCCACGGCCAAGGAGCGGCAGAGAAGGAUGAGUGCAGAGGCCAGCGGAUUCGGCGGCAACGAGAGCUGCACCUAAAAUGGAACGCAUGAUAAAAUGAAAUGACUCAGAAACCUAUGUUCAUUCUACGUUUGGCAGAUGUUUUGCGGAUUCGAGACAAUGAAGUUAGUAGCCGCGCGGAGGAGAAUUGUACAUGUGGCAUGUAUCUUGGCAUCUAAGUACAUGUGGCAUGUACCGAUGAAAUUCUAGACGGUUGCCCGAUUGUAAAAGCGGUUGUACAGCAUUGACUCCUGAUUGAUGAACGAAGAGGUUGCACGCUUUGGCAAAGUAAAGCUUCCUGUCAAAGAAUUGCGACAUCGGGGCACUUCAAAGGAAAGAAGAGCAUAAGGAUAGCACGUACUUUUAAAACGAUUGUUGUAUCUUGUGGCCAUUCACUAAUAAAGCCUUGUGCUGAGUAUUCUUGUAUAUCAUCACACCUUACUUCAUCAAAUAGAGUUGAUGUUAUCUCAAUAUGCAUGUGGCUGGACGAUUAGGUCGACAAGGUGGUUGGUGGCAAGUCUCUCUUUCACUUCCUAAGUGCAGAUUACUACUUCUAUAAUGGGCGUCAAACUGUAAGGAAACAUUCUCGCUGGAUGUGCCGAAAUCCGACCGCGCACGGAUUUUACUUGAUGUCGAUGGUAUGCGCAGCUUAAUCCGGCCGGUACCGCCAAAAGGUGUUACCGGGCCGACCUCCUAUGACUUAUUGAAGCGGCUGAUUGACGAGCUUUGCGUAUCGCAACCCUCUGGCCGGUCGGAGGCAUGGUCUGUCACCUGCCAGCUAAUGAAGCAGGGCCACGGUCUGGUGAGCAGGGCCACGCUCUGAUGGCGACGGCUCCAUAUUCCUAACCUCCUUGUUACCUUACCUUUUAUUCUUCUCCUCAUCCUUACUCUUCAAGCUUCCCUGUCCUGACACCUCGCCUGGCGCCCUCUCCACCUGCUCAGGUUGGCACUGUGGGCGGGCCCACUGCGGGUGCUGGUGGCGGCGGCGGCCUUAGAGAUACCUGGGCCGUCACGUUUCGAGACGCACCCGAUGUGGUCUUCUUAUUGCAGCGGCCCGAAUGCAAGGUAUGAAGCACGACCACGACCCCCCCCCUCUCCUUUGCAAUACUGCCAUGGCCUAACCAAACCCAACCGCUAAAACCACGGGUUCAAAUCCUCCCCUACCUCCCCCCCAACCCCUUCGGCUCCUCCCCCCACACACACCACACCACAUGUACCCCUUCUCCCCGCGUGGCGUUAUGGUUUCCCCCAAAGCUCGACAUCUUGGAAAAAGAUGUCGCUUUUUUGGGAACAUGGGCAUCAUGGGAAAGUAUAGCAUCGAUGUGGGUCGGGUCUAGCAGGUCUAGGCUGCACAACCGCACAAGGACAGGUGUACACGCGGACCUAUACACACAGGCAGGCACCUUCCCCCCCCUAGCACACCUCCUUCACACGGCACGCAUGCGCCAUGGACACAAGCGUACGUAUCGGUGCAUCCACACACACAGCGCCACACAGCGCCACCACACCCAUGUAACCUGUUACGCGGACUCAUACGCACACGCGCGCCCGUACUUCCCCUGGUGGUCCCGGCUGGUGGUGGCUCACUUCGACUGCCGUACCGGUGUGUGUGUGUAUGUGUGGGGUUGGGGGGGGUUCCCUGCUUCACCACUGCUCAGGUGUUGGAGUGCGAAUCUGCGGUCAUGAGGCUGUUGGAGAAAAAGCUAGAGUUCGCCAAGCAGAUGGCCGUACGAGUGGAGGUGGGGGCGGCUGUGUGGCGAGUGGCCGGUUGGUGGAGUGUUGUGUGUGUAUGUAUGUGUGUGUGCUUGUGUGUGUAUAUGUGUGUGUGUGUGCGUGUCAUUGUCGGUGGGGGUGGUGAUCUGUAAUCUGUAUUGUAAUCUGUAUCGUCGUCAUUCCUCUCCCCUCUCCCUUGUUACAUAUAACCCAGGGUUUUCUCCCCCCUCUCUCCCCCGCCUCACCCCACCCCUCUCCCCCCUACCAAGGGCCACACCUACACCAAGGGCGACUUCGUACUCCGACUGUGUACGGCAACUCAAGCCAUUCACUCUACCCAGGUCGGAUGACGGGGGGUGAGGGGGAAUUAGGGUUUUAGGGUUAUUGGGGCGGACGGGAUGGGGCUCUCCCUUUGCGCACCUGUUUUUUGACAACGAUAAUAAGACAGUAGUGCUAUUAUUUCAACACAGAUAUGUUAUUACAACAUAUUGUCAUAACACAGAUCAUCAAGGCAUCGGGGACAGGGAAAUGACACCAGCAAGCACCUCUACUGCCCGCCACCCCACUCCCCACCCCCCACCCCCAACCCCCAACCCCGCCCCCAACCCCGCUCACAGGCGCUCCUGGGUUACUGCCUGGAGGUGGAGUACCUGCCCGUCAGCAGUAUGAGCUCGGCGGAGGGCAUGUUGGGGGAGCUGUUGGACCUCAUGAAGCAGCUGAUGAACACCAUCGUGGCAGCAGCGGCGGCGGCGAACACAACAACAACACAAGAGGGUCAGGGUCCAGCAGGAGGAGGAGGAGGUGCUGGUGCUUUGUCGCAGACACUGCAGUAAGUGUUUGUAUGGGGUUGGGGAGGGAGGGGGAGGGGGGAAGAGGGUGUGCACGUGCGUGCGUGUGUGUUUUGUUCUGGUGACGUUUGCGGGGUGGUGGCGGUCGGAAGGUGUUUUACGUGGUGGAGGAAGGGUAUCGUGGUGUGUGUCGGGAGGGCGGGGCUUGGAAUUGUUUGGGCGUGUGUGAGGUGCUGGCCGGCUGGCGGUGUCACCGGCAAUGCCCCGCGAGUUCUGUGUUGCCGUCCGGUCUCCGGUCGCGAGCACAAAUCUGUUAGUGCAUGUCUGUAUGUUUGUCUAUCUGUAUCUAUGUGCGGAUGGAUGAGAUAUAUGUAUGUGCACACGCAGGCUGGAGACUGUGAAGCCAGCAUACGACAAGUACGGCCUCGGCAGUACACCGUACGGCCGUGCGCACGCUGCGGUGGCGUACACGGACCUGGUCAUGAUGAUGUUGAGCAGCUCUGUUGCAGCUGCUGCUGCUGCACAACAGCAACAACAACAACAGCAGCAACAGCAACAACAGCCUCAACCGCCACCGCAGCAACCGCAAACGUUAUUAAACACAUUAAAGCAUUAAGAGGGAAAAAGCUGAUGCCGCUUUGGAUAUUAGGUCGAUGAUAGCAGUGGCGAUGAUGUAUGUAUGUUGUUACAGGGUGGUAUGUAUGUAUGUAUGUAUGUAUGUAUGUAUGUAUGUAUGUCUUGUAGAUGUAAAGAGGGGGGCUGUGUCCGGACCGGUUCAUCCCCCUCCGCCUCCGCCUCCUCCACCUGCGGUGCGACUUCGACACCCGUCACGUCAUAUGGUACGCCUCUUUUUAUGCGUCCUCUUCGAUAACCUCACGGAUUGAGAAAUGACGUCCGACCCGUGGGUCAUAUGGCUCCCUGGGUCCCUCCUCGGGUUCCCCCUGUGGGCCAAACAUCUCUUGUCGCUGGCUUGUUGUUGUUGGCCAGUUUGGUCAAGAUCUAGGCUAGGUGCAAGCUAGAGGGAGCGGGAGAGGGACAACCCUUCAAAAAGGCACCGUAGCCGUUGGGCGCCUCCGCCGAGGGAGGAGCUAGAGGAGAGUUUGCUGCGUGGGGACGCAAGGCUACUGUUGCUGCUGCUAUUGCUGCUGCUGCUGCUAUUGCUGCUGUUAUUGCUGCUGAACCGUGAUAUCGAUUGGGACACCGUACUGAUUAUUGUGUAAUGGUGAAAGGGUUCGUGGAAAGGUUGUGAAUAGGUUCAGGAACCCUCCAGAGCUCUGCUCCUUUCCCUACCGAAUGUCGGUGCCGUACGUACUGGGGAGACGAGGGACAUACAUACAUAUAUGGGAGCACAAUCUAUAUGUACACGCCCGCGUGUGAGAGGCUGGGGUAGUGAGUUGGGAGUGGGAUUAGGAAAUGUGAUUAAAAUUGGACCACACAUGUACAUGAUCAGUCCUUCAUCAUUUCGCGUUUUCACAUGCGUCCUCACAUGGCCGCAUCCGUGCGGUCCAGCCCACCGCAGCAAUCCAGUAUUACUAAAGUAGUCCUGUAGUGCAAAUCUUGACACCGUUUACAUACAACAGGCGAUGGCGCAUCUUGGCGCAUCAGGAGGUGGGGCCCAAUUUCUACCAUUCUUUGGGCCCAACAUCGCUGUUUAUAUUAAUAAUUAUUAUUCACUAAUGCACUUCAUGCCAUUCACUAAUGCACUUACAUCCUGUGAGGAUAUACGUAUCACCCUAGACAGACAGACAGACAGACAGAUGUUCAAAAAGGGCCGACGUGCAGGGUGGGUGUCCGCGCCCGACUGUGCAGGGGGCAUGUGAGCGUCGCACGAAAUAGAGGCCACGAAAUGCCGCCUGUGUGCAGGUGUGUGUGCGCGUGUGUCAAUGUGUUUGUGCUGUGUCCGUGUCCGUGUGUGUGUGUGUGUGUCCGUGUGUGUGUAUGUGCUAAAUUAUGAAUAUCAUCCCGAUAAAUAGCAUGAAGAUGACCAUUGCUUCUGCAGUACAUGCCCAUAAUAGCUGCGAACAUUGCCACAGGAGCAAUAAAUGCGAGCCAUGCGCCGCCCCUCGCAUCAUGGUAAUAGUGACAGACGCUAGAGAGAACCAAUACGGAGAUGUACGAACCCUGCCAAAUGGGAUAAGGCUCACGAUGGCAUACAGUGGCAUGUACGGAAAUAUGACAUAAGCGUACCCGUGCGAACGAAGAAUCAUGAAUUUAUGUAUUUGACGUCCGCCCCUUCAUCUCCUUUUAUACGUACAUACGUGCGUACAUACAUACAUACAUAAUACAUACAUACAUACAUACAUACAACUACUAUCUUUGAUUUCCAUAUUCAAAUUUCCAUGAGCAUGCAGCAACAUGAAACGGAAGCGUCAUGUUCCGCAGGGUUGUACUUCACAACCCGCAAGUACGGGACCCCUACUUCAAAAAGCAAGUACUAAAUAAACACACAGCACUACCCGCCAACACCCACCUGCAACUGAUCAAGAAAAAAGAACGAGCCGUACUGCAGUCCAUGCGCUCGUCCAAUCCAAGCAGCGCCAGGUAAUCCCAACUGCCCCCGCGUCCCCCGGUAAACCUUUGCUGUACAGCCCGUGCAAACAGACAGACAGACACACAGACAGAGGAAACAAAAACAUGCUUAACAUCCCCAGCGUUUCCCUGUCGCGGCGGUGCCAGUUUCCAUCAACAACACACACACACACACACACACACACACAUACACAUAAUUAUCAGGGCCCCUGUGCGGCCCCGGCACAGACACACACCAGUCUGCGCUCGCAGGGGAGAGGAAAGCCUCCGUUCCUAGUAGUAGGCUCAUAGGACCGAAAGCCCCCCUCCCCCUCCCCCUCCCUCCGGGAGUCAGCGGUGGGGGUAGCGUCCUCCACAGCCAUCACUACCCCCCUUAUCCAGGAACAUGGCCCCUCACCUCUUACCAUCACCCUUAGCUUUUCCCCCAAACCCUGAGCUCACAUUUAAUUAAUGGCGGACGGUGGUCGUGGGGUUAGUGGUGGGCAUGUGUAUUCGCUGUCCGUGUGUCUUUUAUUUCCGCCCUCCCCCCCCCCUCCCAAUCUACCCUCGUCUUUUCCGCCCUUCAAAUAACAAAACCGCUGACCCUUAAAAUAACGAACUCGCUCAACCGCCGAUACACCGUUUUCAGCCCUGAAGCAAGUCCGUUGUUGGCAGCGCUGUGUUUAUGUGCACAGGACUGAGUGACAUCGUACGACACCAUUGCUUGUACCAUCCUCCUUGGAUGGCCGUACGGCACGCAAUCAAUGUGCCGUACAUCCGUAGUGCCGUGAAUGGAUGGGGUAGCAAUAGUGUCGGGUUAGCGCCUAAUUAGGAAAGGAUAGGGCUAGAGGGUAUUUCGGGUCGGAGGGGCUCGAGGGGCAGAUGAGAAUGGGGGGGGACAUAUAAGGCCCCAGAGAGCAGGAUGAAUCGCAUCCAUGAAUGAUGAUGACUUGCAAAUGCAGAAACAGACGUACAGACGUACAGAUGUACACAUAUGGCUUGCGUAAAACUGCGUCACCUCCUCGCGACGCGUUUUAAUGAUCCAGACACAGAUUCCCUCCAAACACACGCGGACAGACAGACAGACAAAAACAUACAUCCGCGCGCUCAUGUAUGAAUCCGCCAAUACAUCUAUCGAUCUAAUUAACCACCCAACGUUCUGUCGCACAAACCUCCUUUAGGAAAGAUCUAAAGUCGUGACGCAAACAAAAACACGACGUUUCGCGUCCUUCUCAAGGACAUCGCUUUG